GGGUUGUGAGGUUAAGCGACUAAGCGUACACGGUGGAUGCCCUGGCAGUCAGAGGCGAUGAAGGGCGUGCUAAUCUGCGAUAAGCGCCGGUAAGGUGAUAUGAACCGUUAUAACCGGCGAUACCGAAUGGGGAAACCAGUGAUUCGUCACACUAUCAUUAACUGAAUCCAUAGGUUAAUGAGGCGAACCGGGAACUGAAACAUCUAAGUACCCGAGGAAAAGAAAUCAACCGAGAUUCCCCAGUAGCGGCGAGCGAACGGAGGAGCCCAGAGCCUGAAUCAGCAUGUGUUAGUGGAAGCGUCUGGAAAGGCGCGCGAUACAGGUGACAGCCCGUACACAAAAGCGCAUGUGCUGUGAGCUCGAUGAGUAGGGCGGGACACGUGGUAUCCUGUCUGAAUAUGGGGACCAUCCUCCAAGGCUAAAUACUCCUGACUGACCGAUAGUGAACCAGUACCGUGAGGAAAGGCGAAAAGAACCCGGCGAGGGAGUGAAAAGAACCUGAAACCGUGUACGUAAGCAGGAGCACAGGUUUACCUGUGUGACUGCGUACCUUUUGUAUAAUGGGUCAGCGACUUAUAUUCUGUAGCAAGGUUAACCGUAUAGGGGAGCCGCAGGGAAACCGAGUCUUAACCGGGCGUUAAGUUGCAGGGUAUAGACCCGAAACCCGGUGAUUCAGCAGGUUGAAGGUUGGUAACACUAACUGGAGGACCGAACCGACUAAUGUUGAAAAUUAGCGGAUGACCUGUGGCUGGGGUGAAAGGCCAAUCAAACCGGGAGAUAGCUGGUUCUCCCCGAAAGCUAUUUAGGUAGCGCCUCGUGAAUUCAUCUCCGGGGGUAGAGCACUGUUUCGGCUAGGGGGCCAUCCCGGCUUACCAACCCGAUGCAAACUGCGAAUACCGGAGAAUGUUAUACACGGCGGGUGCUAACGUCCGUCGUGAAGAGGGAAACAACCCAGACCGCCAGCUAAGGUCCCAAAGUCAUGGUUAAGUGGGAAACGAUGUGGGAAGGCCCAGACAGCCAGGAUGUUGGCUUAGAAGCAGCCAUCAUUUAAAGAAAGCGUAAUAGCUCACUGGUCGAGUCGGCCUGCGCGGAAGAUGUAACGGGGCUAAACCAUGCACCGAAGCUGCGGCAGCGACACUCAGGUGUUGUUGGGAGGUAAGCCUGAAGGUGGCCUGUGAGGGUUGCUGGAGGUAUCAGAAGUGCGAAUGCUGACAUAAGUAACGAUAAAGCGGGUGAAAAGCCCGCUCGCCGGAAGACCAAGGGUUCCUGUCCAACGUUAAUCGGGGCAGGGUGAGUCGACCCCUAAGGCGAGGCCGAAAGGCGUAGUCGAUGGGAAACGGGUUAAUAUUCCCUUGGUGUUACUGCGAAGGGGACGGAGAAGGCUAUGUUGGGCGACGGUUGUCCCGGUUUAAGCGUAGGUGUUCCGUAAAUCCGGUUCACUUUAACACUGAGGCGUGAUGACGAGGCACUACGGUGCUGAAGCAACAAAUGCCCUGCUUCCAGGAAAAGCCUCUAAGCAUCAGGUAACAUCAAAUCGUACCCCAAACCGACACAGGUGGUCAGGUAGAGAAUACCAAGGCGCUUGAGAGAACUCGGGUGAAGGAACUAGGCAAAAUGGUGCCGUAACUUCGGGAGAAGGCACGCUGACAUGUAGGUGAAGUGAUUUACUCAUGGAGCUGAAGUCAGUCGAAGAUACCAGCUGGCUGCAACUGUUUAUUAAAACACAGCACUGUGCAAACACGAAAGUGGACGUAUACGGUGACGCCUGCCCGGUGCCGGAAGGUUAAUUGAUGGGUCAAGCGAAGCCCUGAUCGAAGCCCGGUAAACGGCGGCCGUAACUAUAACGGUCCUAAGGUAGCGAAAUUCUUUGUCGGGUAAGUUCCGACCUGCACGAAUGGCGUAAUGAUGGCGCUGUUCCACCCGAGACUCAGUGAAAUUGAACUCGCUGUGAAGAUGCAGUACCCGCGGCAAGACGGAAAGACCCCGUGAACCUUUACUAUAGCUUGACACUGAACAUUGAGCCUUGAUGUAGGAUAGGUGGGAGGUUUGAAGCGUGGACGCCAGUCUGCGUGGAGCCGGCCUUGAAAUACCACCCUUUAAUGUUUGAUGUUCUAACGUGGACCCGUGAUCCGGGUUGCGGACAGUGUCUGGUGGUAGUUUGAUCGGCGGUCCUCCUAAAGAGUAACGGAGGAGCACGAAGGUUGGCUAAUCGGUCGGACAUCAGGAGGUUAGUGCAAUGGCAUAAGCCAGCUUGACUGCGAGCGUGACGGCGCGAGCAGGUGCGAAAGCAGGUCAUAGUGAUCCGGUGGUUCUGAAUGGAAGGGCCAUCGCUCAACGGAUAAAAGGUACUCCGGGGAUAACAGGCUGAUACCGCCCAAGAGUUCAUAUCGACGGCGGUGUUUGGCACCUCGAUGUCGGCUCAUCACAUCCUGGGCUGAAGUAGGUCCAAGGGUAUGGCUGUUCGCCAUUUAAAGUGGUACGCGAGCUGGGUUUAGAACGUCGUGAGACAGUUCGGUCCCUAUCUGCCGUGGGCGCUGGAGAACUGAGGGGGGCUGCUCCUAGUACGAGAGGACCGGAGUGGACGCAUCACUGGUGUUCGGGUUGUCAUGCCAAUGGCACUGCCCGGUAGCUAAAUGCGGAAGAGAUAAGUGCUGAAAGCAUCUAAGCACGAAACUUGCCCCGAGAUGAGUUCUCCCUGAGACUUAAAGUCUCCUGAAGGAACGUUGAAGACGACGACGUUGAUAGGCCGGGUGUGUAAGCGCAGCGAUGCGUUGAGCUAACCGGUACUAAUGAACCGUGAGGCUUAACCUUACAACGCCGAAG
rnacentral:rRNA from 1 species